UUUCUGAAAAGGCAAACCUGUUGAAAGACAGGGACGCAAAGCCAUGAGUCUAAGGUUUUUGAAAGGGCUAUGACAGUCAGGCUGCCGGA
rnacentral:ncRNA from 1 species